rnacentral:rRNA from 1 species
AGAGUUUGAUCCUGGCUCAGGAUGAACGCUAGCGGGAGGCUUAAUACAUGCAAGUCGAGCGGCAAGGUCUUCGGACCCUAGAGCGGCGCACGGGUGAGUAACGCGUACGCAAUCUGCCCUUCAGUGAGGAAUAGCCCUGGGAAACUGGGAUUAAUACCUCAUAACAUUAAAGAGCUGCAUGGCUUUUUAAUUAAAGUUCUGGCGCUGAAGGAUGAGCGUGCGUCUGAUUAGCUAGUUGGUAGGGUAACGGCCUACCAAGGCUACGAUCAGUAGGGGGCGUGAGAGCGUGACCCCCCACACGGGUACUGAGACACGGACCCGACUCCUACGGGAGGCAGCAGUAAGGAAUAUUGGGCAAUGGAGGCAACUCUGACCCAGCCAUCCCGCGUGAAGGAUUAAGGCCCUAUGGGUUGUAAACUUCUUUUGUUUGGGAAGAAAUCUGGACAUUUAUGUGCAGUUGACGGUACCUUACGAAUAAGCACCGGCUAACUCCGUGCCAGCAGCCGCGGUAAUACGGAGGGUGCAAGCGUUAUCCGGAAUCACUGGGUUUAAAGGGUGCGUAGGCGGUUUGAUAAGUCAGAGGUGAAAGCUAGCAGCUUAACUGUUAAAUUGCCUUUGAUACUGUCAGACUUGAAUCAAGUUGAGGUAGGCGGAAUGUGACAUGUAGCGGUGAAAUGCAUAGAUAUGUCAUAGAACACCAAUUGCGUAGGCAGCUUGCUGGGCUUGAAUUGACGCUGAGGCACGAAAGCGUGGGGAUCAAACAGGAUUAGAUACCCUGGUAGUCCACGCCCUAAACGAUGUUAACUCGAUAUUUAUUCUUCGGAGUGAGUGUCCAAGCGAAAGCGUUAAGUUAACCACCUGG